rnacentral:rRNA from 1 species
GACGAACGCUGGCGGCGUGCUUAACACAUGCAAGUCGAACGGAAAGGCCUGCUUUCCCUUGUGGAUUGCGGGUACUCGAGUGGCGAACGGGUGAGUAACACGUGAGUGAUCUGCCCCCAACUUGGGUAUAAGCCUGGGAAACUGGGUCUAAUUCCCGAUAGGACUGCAGGGUGGUGCCUGUGGUGGAAAACGAUUUUCUAGUGGUUGGGGAUGAGCUCGCGGCCUAUCAGCUUGUUGGUGGGGUAAUGGCCUACCAAGGCGGCGACGGGUAGCCGGCCUGGGAGGGUGGACGGCCACGUUGGGACUGCGAUACGGCCCAGACUCCUACGGGAGGCAGCAGUGGGGAAUAUAGCACGAUGGGCGGAAGCCUGAUGCAGCGACGCCGCGUGGGGGAUGACGGCCUUCGGGUUGUAAACUCCUUUCGACCGCGAGGAAGCCACCUGGUUGGAAGGGUGGUGACGGUAGUGGUAGAAGAGCACCGGCUAACUACGUG